rnacentral:rRNA from 1 species
UACAGAGGGGGUAAGCGUUGUUCGGAAUUACUGGGCGUAAAGGGCGCGUAGGCGGCCUGUUAAGUCGAACGUGAAAUCCCCGGGCUCAACCCGGGAACUGCGUCCGAUACUGGCAGGCUUGAAUUCGGGAGAGGGAUGCGGAAUUCCAGGUGUAGCGGUGAAAUGCGUAGAUAUGUGGAGGAAUACCGAUGGCGAAGGCAGCCUCCUGGGCCAACACUGACGCUGAGGAGCGAAAGCAUGGGGAGCGAACAGG